CUCCAUGUUUUUAUUUCAACCCAUGUUUCUGACCUGUCUGAAACACUGAUGUGGCCCACUGUUUAUGGCAGUACUCGGAAACGCUAGAGUACAGCAUUUUGCCAUAAACACUGACAGAACCUCAACUGUAACCAGGAAAUAAUUCAUCAUGAUGGUUCUUGUAGUCUUAGCUAUAUAACGGAGCUGACGGCUAGCUGAAGCAUGUUUGCAUCCCGGGGCUUACUGGCACAUUCUUCUUUUAUGUUUCUUUUCUGCUUUUAUGUUUUUCAGCUCUGGUUUUGCAGAUAAAUUCAUCUGACAUUGACAGACAGCAGCUCCCGUUUCACGAGCCACCUAAAGAUCAAGACGAGAGAGCGGGAAGAACCGGUAGCCGUGUUGCUCUUGGCAGAGUGGCCCAGCCAUCGGAGCUUAACAUCUGCAACCAUGUGUACAUUCUGAGACCCUGUUUGGAGAGGCAGCCCGUUGCACUCCCAUCACACAUCGUCUCUCUGUUCUCAGGGGCAAGUUGCUUUGCCGUGCUGGCGGAGGAGUUCGGUUUUGGCCGCUGUGUCCAAAGACCACAGAGACCUGGGAAAUCAAAGGCAUCGUUUGUGGACCAAAUGCCAUCCUAUACCUCCACUGAUGUAGGGCACUAUAGUAUAUGGGCCCUGUUCAACAGCAGUGCACUUCCAAGGCCAUAGGGUGCCAUUGCUGAUUUGAUUGGGUGCAGGCUGAGAUGCCAGCGUUCCCCUCCAUGAUGCUCUGACCGACAGAAAAACCUCCAAAAGAGGAGACAGCCAACAGGGAGUAUUCUGAUGGCAGUCUCUCUAUUCGUUACCACUGUUUUGACAGUGCAGCAGAGUUUUGGUCUUCGAACAUUCACCGUGGCUCACUCAAGGAUUUAGGGGCAGAUGCCAUUUCAAACAAUCUAACAAGAUAAUUAUUUUCAGGUUUCCUGGCAAUAUAUAACAGACGAGUUCCACUUUCAGGGUAUGUUCAUAAAAAUGCAUGUAGAAAAUCACUCGGAGGUCUUCUGUGACAUUACACUGUAGUAACACAUUAAAGACUG
ensembl:lncRNA